rnacentral:misc_RNA from 1 species
GUGGGAGGGGGCUUGCUCCCGAUGGCGGUGGGUCAGUCAACUGAUAAUUGACUGAAACACCGCCAUCGGGAGCAAGCCCCCUCCCAC